GUGAGGAAUAUUGCACAAUGGGCGAAAGCCUGAUGCAGCAACGCCGCGUGAGGGACGAAGGCCUUCGGGUCGUAAACCUCUUUUCUGGGGGAAGAGAUCAGGACGGUACCUCAGGAAUAAGUCUCGGCUAACUACGUGCCAGCAGCCGCGGUAAAACGUAGGAGGCGAGCGUUAUCCGGAUUUACUGGGCGUAAAGCGCACGCAGGCGGCUCCGUUAGUCGGACGUGAAAGCUCCUGGCUUAACUGGGAGAGGCCGUUCGAUACUGCGGGGCUUGAGGUUGGGAGAGGGGUGUGGAAUUCCCGGUGUAGUGGUGGAAUGCGUAGAGAUCGGGAGGAACACCUGUGGCGAAAGCGGCACCCUGGCCCACACCUGACGCUGAGGUGCGAAAGCGUGGGUAGCAAACAGGAUUAGAAACCCCAGUAGUCC
rnacentral:rRNA from 1 species